rnacentral:rRNA from 2 species
UGAACGGGAACAGGGCAUCGCGGAACUGCAGGUCAUCUUGGCCUCGCGGAAUGUCGCGUUCGGGAGAGUCUUCUCGAGGACCGGACGGCCAGUCAAAGUCCAACUUGACAGUGGCCACUGCCCAUAGAGGGUGAUAGGCCCGUAAGGCGGCUGUCCGUUUUCGCUGACUUUUUCCCUAGAGUCGGGUUGCUUGGGAGUGCAGCCCAAAGUGCGAGGUAAACUCCUCGUAACCCUAAAUAUGACCCCGAGACCGAUAGCAAACAAGUACGGUGACGGAAGAUUGAAAAGAACUUUGAAGAGAGAGUUCAAUAGUACGUGAAACUGUGUGGUGGUAAACGGAGGGGUUCUCGAAGUUUCUGUGGGGAACUCAGCCUUGGUGUCGCGUGGCCCUGUCGUAUCCGAUCAGCAAUGACGGUGCGGCUUGGCCGACGUGUCUCUCGGGUGCAUUUCCCCCGCAGUUUACGGCAGGAACUGUUUGGAGCGCACCGAAGGCCUCGGGUGAAGUUGUUGGUUCUGCUGGCAGCCCUGGGUGUCCUGGCUUCGCACCAGACAGGUACGUGAGAGGACUCGUAUAGCGAGCAAUGCUCUGUUGCGGUUCUCAUCUCUCUGCCGAGUAGGUCGGCGGCCCCUCCGACCCGUCUUGAAACACGGACC